rnacentral:tRNA from 1 species
UCUAAUGUGGCAGAUAAGUGCAAUGGAUUUAAGCUCCAUAUAUAAAGGACUUCCCUUUCAUUAGAAU